rnacentral:rRNA from 1 species
UACGAAGGGGGCUAGCGUUGCUCGGAAUCACUGGGCGUAAAGCGCACGUAGGCGGCUUUCUAAGUCAGGGGUGAAAUCCUGGAGCUCAACUCCAGAACUGCCUUUGAUACUGGAGAGCUUGAGUUCGGGAGAGGUGAGUGGAACUGCGAGUGUAGAGGUGAAAUUCGUAGAUAUUCGCAAGAACACCAGUGGCGAAGGCGGCUCACUGGCCCGGUACUGACGCUGAGGUGCGAAAGCGUGGGGAGCAAACAGG